ACGAACGCUGGCGGCGUGCUUAACACAUGCAAGUCGAACGGAAAGGCCCUGCUUUUGUGGGGUGCUCGAGUGGCGAACGGGUGAGUAACACGUGAGUAACCUGCCCUUGACUUUGGGAUAACUUCAGGAAACUGGGGCUAAUACCGGAUAGGAGCUCCUGCUGCAUGGUGGGGGUUGGAAAGUUUCGGCGGUUGGGGAUGGACUCGCGGCUUAUCAGCUUGUUGGUGGGGUAGUGGCUUACCAAGGCUUUGACGGGUAGCCGGCCUGAGAGGGUGACCGGCCACAUUGGGACUGAGAUACGGCCCAGUCUCCUACGGGAGGCAGCAGUGGGGAAUAUUGCACAAUGGGCGGAAGCCUGAUGCAGCAACGCCGCGUGCGGGAUGACGGCCUUCGGGUUGUAAACCGCUUUCGCCUGUGACGAAGCGUGAGUGACGGUAAUGGGUAAAGAAGCACCGGCUAACUACGUG
rnacentral:rRNA from 1 species